AUGUUCAGACUGUACUGGCUACUCAGGCAUGUUCAGACUGUACUGGCUACUCAGGCAUGUUCAGACUGUACUGGCUACUCAGGCAUGUUCAGACUGUACUGGCUACUCAGGCAUGUACAGACUGUACUGGCUACUCUGAGAGGACCUGAUAGGCAUGUUCAGACUGUACUGGCUACUCAGGCAUGUUCAGACUGUACUGGCUACUCAGGCAUGUUCAGACUGUACAGGCUACUCAGGCAUGUUCAGACUGUACUGGCUACUCAGGCAUGUUCAGACUGUACUGGCUACUCAGGCAUGUUCAGACUGUACUGGCUACUCAGGCAUGUUCAGACUGUACUGGCUACUCAGGCAUGUUCAGACUGUACUGGCUACUCAGGCAUGUUCAGACUGUACUGGCUACUCAGGCAUGUACAGACUGUACUGGCUACUCAGGCAUGUUCAGACUGUACUGGCUACUCAGGCAUGUUCAGACUGUACUGGCUACUCUGAGAGGACCUGAUAGGCAUGUUCAGACUGUACUGGCUACUCUGAGAGGACCUUUAAGGCCCAUGCGUUAAGCCAUGUUUGCCCAGAAGCUCUUUAUUGCACAUACUAAUGUUGAUAUGUAAUAUUAAUAAAAAGAAAUCACAAACCGAAACAAAAUAUUGCUUCAAUAUUUUUUUUAAGUUUUUUUUUCCUGUCCCUUUAUUCAUUUAUUUAUUUACUGUAUUUUCCUCCAAGAUUGUAUGGUCACUCAUUCGUUUAUUUUAUCAUUUUAUCUUUUAUUUCUUACCUACUGGUACAUACAAAUAUGUAUUUUUUAUCUUGAUGUAAUAUAAAAUGCAGUGUUACUAAUUUAUUAACUAUCAGUUUAGAAUAAAAUAUUAAAAAUGA